ACCUUGACUUAGUAUCCAGUGCUACUGGACUAGUUGCUCCUGUCUUUGUCAUGAUACUCAGUUUGACUGUUGGGUUUUUGGCAUGAUUGUUGAUAUGGAUCUAGAUACAUGUAUUACUGAUGCAUGGCAUAACAUGAACAGACUCCAGAUAAUUAUUUAUUCAUCAUCUGUUGGGCGUUGUUAAUCAAUUAUUAACAAUGAAUGAUAUUCAGAACGAGGGGUCCGACAUCCAAAUGUCAAAAAGGGGGAUGGGUCUGGCUACGCGAGACUCGAUUCAGAAUGGUGAGGGUUUUGUCCUCGGUUUUGUCACUGAGAGUGAAACGGUGGAAAAAGGAAGCGUUCUACAGAACCUGAGACUGAGUCGACUGGUACUACAACAGAGGAAAGGCCCUCUAAGUGUAGCCAUCUUGAGCCUGAUUUUGAACCACCUUCAGACCUCUAUCAAAAGGAUGAGUAGGACCAAGUGCAGCUACUGAUUAGUCUCGCUAGCUACUGAUGAAGCUAAAACUUCACAAAAUAAAGAAGUCAAUUAUUUAAAAAAGUGGAAAUAAUAAAAGAGAUUUAUAAUGUUUCGAUAAAGACUUGAUUAACUGGCCCAAGAUAUAUGGUGAAGCUACUCUUCAAGAGAUUAUACUAGCAACUAUCAUACAAAUUUUUGGUGGCUAUCAGUUUUAUGUGUCUUUACAAGUCAUUGAAGCUUUGUUCAGCUAGCAUUGACAUACUAAUAAUAGCACUGGCUACCACCAUAGCCUUUGUUUACUCUGUUAUUAUUGUUUUUGUGGCUGCUUUUGUGACUAGAAAGUACAUGAAGACCUUUUUUGAAACUCUGCCCAUGCUACUCAUGUUUGUGUCUCUGGGACACUGGCUUGAAUACACUGCAAAGGGCAAGACGUUUAAAGCACUUGCAAACUAAUGUCACUGCAAGCAACUAAUUAAUGAAUUAAUAAACUAAUUAAUUAAUCAACUAACUAAUUAAUGGCAUGGCUAGAUUAAUGACCUCACCCACUGACCCACCCACCGAUGAAGUGUAAUUAUUGAAUUAAUAAUAACCAUUAAUAACUACCAAUAAUUGCACAUGUAGCAAAGAGAUGAUACCAGUAGAGCUAAAGUGCAGACUCCAGAAAGGAGAUAAAAUUAGAGUAAGACCAGGAGAAAAGGUACGAGUAGAUGCGGUUAUUCUUGAUGGUGAUUCAUCAACUGAUGAAUCGCUAAUUACUGGUUAAUCAAUGCUCGUGCAAAAGAAACCUGGUGACUCGGUGAUUGGUGGUUCAGUGAAGGAACGUGAGAAUAACACAUGAUCUUGUGUAGAGUGUAGUUGUACAAAGUAACUGGAGGAUUAUUGUUGGAUAUACUUUAAACUGUUCUCCUCCUAUUAAUUAAAGCCACACACAUUGGGUCUGACUUCAUGCUGUCUCAAAUUGUUGGACUAGACUUGUUGAAGAAACCCAGACUUCAAAAGCUCCUACUCAGCAUAUAGCUGACAGGAUACCUGGUUACCUUGUGCCUCUCAUUCUAUUUUUUCAUUUAUUUUUUAUCUGCUGUUUGAUUGCAAGACCACACUGGAGCCCAUAGAUAUUCCCUUAGUACGUUGACCUGAGCACCUGUUAUUAAAUAGAACAGGAGGAGAGAGAAGAGGAAGUACAAAUGUAUAGGAAACCUGUGGCUAGGAGGAGACCAAU